UUAAUUAACUUACUUGGGCGAGUUUAUAUCAUUUCCCCAAAUUUUUUAAUUUAAUUUUGGAGCAGGAAUUCAUAUAAACUCGCCCAAGUAAGUUAAUUAAAUGCUAAAUACUGAAUACAUAUGCUUCUCAUUUGUAAUAAAUGACAGGCAUAUUUGAAUUAACAUCCCAAAUGCCUCCCUCUCUCACAUACUCUAAAUACCUUGUAAAUUCCGG
rnacentral:misc_RNA from 1 species